UCCCUGGUGGUCCAGUGGCUAAGACUCCUGGCUAAGAUGCAGGGGGCCCAGGUUCGAUUCCUGGCCAGGGAA